AUCCGGGUUGCGGACAGUGUCUGGUGGGUAGUUUGACUGGGGCGGUCUCCUCCUAAAGAGUAACGGAGGAGCACGAAGGUUGGCUAAUCCUGGUCGGACAUCAGGAGGUUAGUGCAAUGGCAUAAGCCAGCUUGACUGCGAGCGUGACGGCGCGAGCAGGUGCGAAAGCAGGUCAUAGUGAUCCGGUGGUUCUGAAUGGAAGGGCCAUCGCUCAACGGAUAAAAGGUACUCCGGGGAUAACAGGCUGAUACCGCCCAAGAGUUCAUAUCGACGGCGGUGUUUGGCACCUCGAUGUCGGCUCAUCACAUCCUGGGGCUGAAGUAGGUCCCAAGGGUAUGGCUGUUCGCCAUUUAAAGUGGUACGCGAGCUGGGUUUAGAACGUCGUGAGACAGUUCGGUCCCUAUCUGCCGUGGGCGCUGGAGAACUGAGGGGGGCUGCUCCUAGUACGAGAGGACCGGAGUGGACGCAUCACUGGUGUUCGGGUUGUCAUGCCAAUGGCACUGCCCGGUAGCUAAAUGCGGAAGAGAUAAGUGCUGAAAGCAUCUAAGCACGAAACUUGCCCCGAGAUGAGUUCUCCCUGAGACUUUAGGUCUCCUGAAGGAACGUUGAAGACGACGACGUUGAUAGGCCGGGUGUGUAAGCGCAGCGAUGCGUUGAGCUAACCGGUACUAAUGAACCGUGAGGCUUAACCUU
rnacentral:rRNA from 3 species